rnacentral:rRNA from 1 species
UAAUACGUAGGGGGCAAGCGUUGUUCGGAUUUAUUGGGCGUAAAGGGCAUGUAGGCGGAUAAGAAAGUCCACGGUGAAAGAUCUCGGCUCAACCGAGGGGUAUUCGUGGAAACUUCUUGUCUUGAGGGCAGCAGAGGCGAGUGGAAUUCCCGGAGUAGCGGUGAAAUGCGUAGAUUUCGGGAGGAACACCAGUGGCGAAGGCGACUCGCUGGGCUGUUUCUGACGCUGAGGUGCUAAAGCGUGGGGAGCGAACCGGAUUAGAUACCCGGGUAGUCCACGCCCUAAACGAUGGACACUAGGUAUGGGGGGCACCGACCCCUUCCGUGCCGAAGCUUACGCGUUAAGUGUCCCGCCUGGGGAGUACGGCCGCAAGGCUA